CUGGGGGAAGCCACUCCGGACACUGUGUUUUCUCUGGGACAUGUCUUCUGCCCAGGUUGCAAAGGUGAAGAAACACAGUCCCGGCUGGAAGUCACAGCCAGGGUGGGAUGCACACAGAUUAGCAGAUCAUCAGCGAGCACCAGAUAUGGCCGCCUUAAAAGAUGCAGAUGCUGUUGUGAUCAGCAUGAAGUUUCCCUGUGAGGCCGUGGUUAGCGUGGACAUCAGCCAGCACUGCACAGACAGCUGCGACCAGGACGUCAGCCAGCACUGCACAGACAGCUGCGACCAGAGACUGGAGGGAAAUAACCUCCUGAAAUCACCAAAGAGCAGUUCCUCAGGGCCUUCCGGGUGACCGUGGCCGUGGAGCAGUCGUGGUGAAACCGGUCAGCUGUGGACCUGCCCUGCGAAUCGGCAGAGGCCUCCGUGGUGAAGACAGAAGCUCCGUGAACCAACUCGAGGCUGGAGCCAAGAUCCUGCCUGAUAUCCAGUUGCCUGUUUCACUUGUUACUGUUACUGGGAGAGGGAGACAAAACCUCAUGGCAAUCUUGUCCUCACUGGAGACUCAGAAGGGGAAGCAUUGGGAAACCAUGUAUGUUUCAUUUCUGGUUUAACCAGGCUUUUCAGGAUGGGACUUCAGACCAAGGACACAAGUUGGGCUUGCUUAGGUGUUUUGUGUUGUGCGCAGGCCUCAGAGAUGCUCUUCCGGUCAGAGUUCCCUUGGCAGGGCCUUGGAGGCC
rnacentral:lncRNA from 1 species